rnacentral:rRNA from 2 species
GUCUGCGUGGAGCCGACCUUGAAAUACCACCCUUUAAUGUUUGAUGUUCUAACGUGGACCCGUAAUCCGGGUUGCGGACAGUGUCUGGUGGGUAGUUUGACUGGGGCGGUCUCCUCCUAAAGAGUAACGGAGGAGCACGAAGGUUGGCUAAUCCUGGUCGGACAUCAGGAGGUUAGUGCAAUGGCAUAAGCCAGCUUGACUGCGAGCGUGACGGCGCGAGCAGGUGCGAAAGCAGGUCAUAGUGAUCCGGUGGUUCUGAAUGGAAGGGCCAUCGCUCAACGGAUAAAAGGUACUCCGGGGAUAACAGGCUGAUACCGCCCAAGAGUUCAUAUCGACGGCGGUGUUUGGCACCUCGAUGUCGGCUCAUCACAUCCUGGGGCUGAAGUAGGUCCCAAGGGUAUGGCUGUUCGCCAUUUAAAGUGGUACGCGAGCUGGGUUUAGAACGUCGUGAGACAGUUCGGUCCCUAUCUGCCGUGGGCGCUGGAGAACUGAGGGGGGCUGCUCCUAGUACGAGAGGACCGGAGUGGACGCAUCACUGGUGUUCGGGUUGUCAUGCCAAUGGCACUGCCCGGUAGCUAAAUGCGGAAGAGA